GGGUUGUAGUGGAUUGAGAGGGAGCCUGGAAUGGCCUGAAGACAAGCAGCAAAAAGGAGUCAUUAUCGCAGAGUAGGAUCAUCAUCCUCUUCAAUUCAGGAAACUAACUCACGUAGAGUGUGUCUCCACCUGGUGCCAUCAACCCACGGAGGGAACUGCCAGUUCCUGUGAUGCCCAGUGGAGGGAGCGACCCCACUGCUGCUUCUACCUGCUACAGAUUCAACUGUGACGACUGACUUCCUUCACUACAACUCCUCUGAGCAGAACACACCUAAAUAUGAAAUGAAGUGUGUGCCUGUGAUAUAAGGAAUCAGGAGGCACGCCAAAGCACAGGAAGUGUUUUUAGUGGCUGUAAGACAGCACUGGAGACGACCCAGCUGCCAUGGUGCUCUGGAGACAACUGGGAAUGAAAGUCUGUCUGGCAUCACCUGUGUCCAGCACGUGGCAGUCAUCUCCUUGCAGGGGACAGUCCCGAUCAUCCCUAACCAAUCUAGCCACAGUAGGAGGAGACAUAGUGUCUGGUCCCUGCUUUGAACGACUUCCUGAAUGAAUGAAGGACUGGGACUCAAGGUAAAUUCUCAGUCAAUAAAGCGUAGCUCUUCGUGGACCAG
ensembl:lncRNA